GUCCAGCCGCCGCGGUAAUACCGGCAGCCCAAGUGAUGGCCGCUGUUAUUGGGCCUAAAGCGUCCGUAGCUGGCCGCGCAAGUUCGUCGGGAAAUCCACUCGCUUAACGAGUGGGCGUCCGGCGAAAACUGUGCGGCUUGGGACCGGAAGAUCCAAGGGGUACGUCCGGGGUAGGAGUGAAGUCCCGUAAUCCUGGACGGACCACCGAUGGCGAAAGCACCUUGGAAGGACGGAUCCGACAGUGAGGGACGAAAGCUAGGGUCUCGAACCGGAUUAGAUACCCCUGUAGUCC
rnacentral:rRNA from 1 species